rnacentral:rRNA from 1 species
UGCCUGACGUGGAUGCUAGUUCCUGAGAUUAAGCCAUGCAUGUUUCCGAACCCAUGGGGGGAAGGAUAGACGGCUCAGUAAUACUGCGACGAUUUGAUCGAUGUUUAGCCGUACCCACGGGAAACUGUGGCCAGGGCUAUUGAGUGUAGAGUACAUGUGUCGAGUAAGUUGCAGGCCUAUCAACUGGUAGUUAGGGUAAUGGCCUAACUAGGUGGCGACGGGAGACGGGGGAUUGGGGUUUGAUUCCGGAGAGGGAGCCUGAGAGAUGGCUACUACGUCCAAGGAUGGCAGCAGGCGCGAAACUUGCCUAAUCCUUUGGAAUGGGAGGCAGUUAUGGAACGUUUUGUGCGUGAUUGUAAAGAGAUUGCGCAGUAUCGGAGGGCAAGUCGGGUGCCAGCAUCCGCGGUAAU